GAAAAGGCUAAUUUGUUUAUUCACUUUUAUUUAUGCUUCAGUUAUAACAGUACGACAUAUAAUUUUAUUAGGCCAAAUUAUUGUAUGUGACACUUUUUAGUGCAUAAUCCUUUACUCUGUGAUGUUAACUACACAAUUGCUUGGGGUGAGAGGUACCUCAGGUCAGAAGACAAGAUCUGGCUGGAUUGAACCAGCUAAACUAAAAUUAAUGGGUUUUGAUCUAUCAGAUUUCAGAAUGUAUUUUAAUUUAAUUAAUUUGAGUUUAAAUUGAGUUCAUUUCUCAGAAAAAUUCUUAAGAGCACAGUUAAUUAGCUAAGGCCCAAAUUUGCCAGCUGAUUCUAAAUUGAUGAGGGAUUUCGUCUGGACUCUUAAUUGCUAUAUUUGCCUUUUUAGAAUCACAAAUUCAAAGUCCACGAAAAAGCUGAUAGCCAAUUGCAUUAAUGUAUUACAGAGUAAGCAUAUAUUAACAAGAAACAUUAUCGGAACUGUGUGCAAUAUUUUGAAAAAAUGAAAAUUAAUAUGUAUGAUAGCAAAACCGUGAUUGUGUUUUUCAGAUAUCGCUGGAAAUUCAGUAGGAAAAGGUCUUUGCUUGAGGGAAAAAGAAUGCAUUCUAUUGAAUAAAAACUGUUACAAAACAUCUGUGUCCCAGGCUCCCUUCCAAGGUAGGACACACGGUGGAGUGCUACUGAUGCUGCCACUUUUGUCCUACUUCUUUCCCAGGGGUAAGUCGGGCACCAGUCCACUCUCCCUGUACCCACUUAGGUUUAGGGGGCACAUAGCACAGACUGGUGGGUCCCCCCUCGCGAGGCAUGCGGUAAAAGACGUGAUAUCCUUGAGCCCUCUCCACUUUGGAGAGGGGGAUAGCAGUGUUGUUCAUCUCCCUAAAGAUGUGAAUUUACAACUUUCACCUCUAACCCUUCCUCAUUUCCCUGAUCUGACCCAUGGUCCUAAAGUUAUAAAACACAUUAUUGUCCCCAUAGUAAAUUCUGAACUUCACAUCUUUUAUAUUUUCUUUUCUCCACAGAAUCUUUUAUUAUAUCAUCUGUUACAACUUCAUUGCAAGAGAUACACAUAUGCAAAGAAAGCUUAUAGACAAAACUGAACAAUGCAAUAUCAAGAAAAAAUAACAAGAUAUUGACAAAGAAAAGAACUGUUAGAAUUGCCACAACUACUCUGGAGAAUCAUUUGUUAACUGCUGUUUUGAAAAUGUGCAUGUUUUAUGACUUAAAAUUUAUACUUGUGGGUAUACCAUAAGGAAAUGUUAUAAAGACUAUACAAAAAAUAUAUAUGUAAAGAUUUUUAUUGAAACACUGCAACUCAACAUCUAUCAGAAGAGAAAUGAAAGAAUACAUGUUAGCAUAUCUGAACAAUGGAAUAUUAUACAGCUGUCAAAAUGAAGAAACCAGAACUGUAUAUAUCAACUUUGAUUGGUCUCACAGACAUAAUAUUGAGUUAACAAAGCAAAGUGCAGAACAUUUUAUGCAGUUUUGAAAUCAUUUUAUGUUAAUUACAGUUAUAAAUAUUAUAAUAUAUAGAUAUUGUGAUAUUUAUACGUACUAAAACGUGAAAACACGAUUAGCCUCAAACUGAAUUAUAAUUAUUGCUUGUCGGGCAUGAGACUGAAGAGAGGAACAUGGAAGAUUAUAAUAUCACCAGUAUUGAUAUAUUUGUCAAAAAAUAUAAAAUGAUCUGAUGAAAUUAUGACAGAAUGUUUUCGUUUCUUAGUUGUAUGUGUGUUAUCCUAUGUUCUUUUCUACAUAUUUUUACAUCUUUUUAAAGAGAAGAUCUGAUAGCAUGUGUGUGUGUG
rnacentral:lncRNA from 1 species